rnacentral:tRNA from 1 species
GGAGAGAUGUCCGAGUGGUUUAAGGAGCUGGUCUUGAAAACCAGUGACUCGCUUUGCGGGCCGUGGGUUCGAAUCCCACUCUCUCCGCCA